GUCUUACAAUUGGAAUGAGUACAAUUUAAAUCCCUUAACGAGGAUCAAUUGGAGGGCAAGUCUGGUGCCAGCAGCCGCGGUAAUUCCAGCUCCAAUAGCGUAUACUAAAGUUGUUGCCGUUAAAAAGCUCGUAGUCGAACUUCGGCCUUUGCCGCCCGGUCCGCCUUUUUGGGUGUGUACUGGAGCGGUGGAGGCCUACCUCGUGGUGAAUAAUCAUGCCCUUUACUGGGUGUGGUUGGGAACCAUGACUUUUACCUUGAAAAAAUUAGAGUGUUCAAAGCAGGCUUACGCCCGAAUACAUUAGCAUGGAAUAAUAAAAUAGGACGUGCGGUCCUAUUUUGUUGGUUUCUAGGAUCGCCGUAAUGAUUAAUAGGGAUAGUUGGGGGCAUUCGUAUUCAAUUGCUAGAGGUGAAAUUCUUGGAUUUAUUGAAGACGAACUACUGCGAAAGCAUUUGCCAAGGAUGUUUUCAUUGAUCAAGAACGAAGGUUAGGGGAUCGAAAACGAUCAGAUACCGUUGUAGUCUUAACAGUAAACGAUGCCGACUAGGGAUCGGACGAGGAUUUUUAAUGACUCGUUCGGCACCUGAAGAGAAAUCUUUAAGUCUAGGUUCGGGGGGGAGUAUGGUCGCAAGGCUGAAACUUAAAGGAAUUGACGGAAGGGCACCACCAUGGUGUGGAGCCUGCGGCUUAAUUUGACUCAACACGGGGAAACUCACCAGGUCCAGACACGACAAGGAUUGACAGAUUGAUAGCUCUUUCUUGAUUUCGUGGGUGGUGGUGCAUGGCCGUUCUUAGUUGGUGGAGUGAUUUGUCUGGUUAAUUCCGAUAACGAACGAGACCUUAACCUGCUAAAUAGCCCGGCCGACUUUGGUUGGUCGCUG
rnacentral:rRNA from 1 species